rnacentral:rRNA from 1 species
GACGAACGCUGGCGGCGUGCCUAAUACAUGCAAGUCGAACGAAGCUUUUUUAACUGGUGCUUGCACCGACUUAAACAACUGAGUGGCGAACGGGUGAGUAACACGUGGGUAACCUGCCCCAAAGCGGGGGAUAACAUUUGGAAACAGAUGCUAAUACCGCAUAACCACAGAAACCACAUGGUUUCUGUGUCAAAGAUGGUUUCGGCUAUCACUUUGGGAUGGACCCGCGGCGUAUUAGCUAGUUGGUAAGGUAAUGGCUUACCAAGGCAAUGAUACGUAGCCGAACUGAGAGGUUGAUCGGCCACAGUGGGACUGAGACACGGCCCAAACUCCUACGGGAGGCAGCAGUAGGGAAUCUUCCACAAUGGACGAAAGCCUGAUGGAGCAACGCCGCGUGAGUGAAGAAGGUUUUCGGAUCGUAAAACUCUGUUGUCAGAGAAGAACGUGUGCGAGAGUAACUGUUCGUGCAGUGACGGUAUCUGGCCAGAAAGCCACGGCUAACUACGUGCCAGCCGCCGCUGUAA